GCAGCUCCUAACCUUUUGUUGGGUCCCCUGCCCCUUGGAGAAUCUGCGGAAAGCUACACGCUGUCUCUUCAGACGAGGAAGACAGGGUGCGCAUUCAUGCGCCUAUGACUUCAGGGCUGUCACAGAUCCCUGAAAAGUCAAGGAAAGCCUUGUCUAUGCCAAUGAUUUCCCAGGCUGAGGCUCCAGUGGAAUGAAGGAAUGAAUGAAUGAAUGAACAAGUGAGGAGCAGAGAAGCUGCACGCAGAUGGAGGAACCCAAGGUACUUUUUGACUCUUUUUCUGGGGAGACAAAGUCGGAGCUUAGAGAAAUACUCCUACGAUUGUUUAUUUACACGUUCAUCCCAUGACGUCUUACUCAUCUUGAUGUCCCCAGCAAACAGCGCAGGGGACCUCCUGAGGCUUGGGACGGGUGCGUUAAUCAAGGGUCCCUCUGGAGAGCGGUUGUCCUUCCCAGCAGCUCAACCUCCUGCCGUUAGGGCCCCUCUGCCCUCGCACCGCCUCCACUGCCAGUCUCCUGGGGACCUGUGAGCGCCCUGUGCAGAUCAUGAGGAAAGGGGCGCGGAGGGCCCCUCCGAGGAGUAAACUCACGACUCACUUAUGUGACGGGCUUGGGUUACGCGCCUUAAAGGACGGCCGCCCUGCUGCAGCCGUGCCUUCGGAGAUCCGGGUGGGUGAGGGCACCAGCUGGGAAAACUCCUCCGGUGAGUUGCCAUGGUAACCAUGACCUUGCCUCUCCUGAAGCGAGUCCCGAGAGGAAGCCGCCCCAGGGGGUGGGGAGGAGGGUAGGAAUCCAUCAAAAGCCCCGAACCCUGCCCUCCUAUACCCUUUUCUUCGCUCCUCGCGGUUUACACGCUCAAGGUAGAUGCCAUUGUGUGUGGGCAUCUGAGUAGAAGCUGCUGAAAAUAGCCACUCGACUAUUUCAGGGAGAAGAUGAAUAUGCAUGAAGCUAUUUCAGAAAAGCUGUCCCUGGCCCGGCCAAUCCAAACCCCAUCCUUCCCUUUGGAAAUGCCAAGAGAGGCUGAAUGGGACCUUUCUUAGGCUGGCCCACGGGGUGGGGGGUUUUCAGAAGCCGCAGAAACACCCUGGCUAAUGUUGGUCUUGCAGCUCUGUCAGCUCUGCCUCCCCAUCCUGUGGUCAC
rnacentral:lncRNA from 1 species